rnacentral:rRNA from 1 species
GGGCCCGCACAAGCGGUGGAGCAUGUGGUUUAAUUCGAUGCAACGCGAAGAACCUUACCUGCCCUUGACAUCUCCGGAAUCUCCUAGAGAUAGGAGAGUGCCUUCGGGAAUCGGAAGACAGGUGCUGCAUGGCUGUCGUCAGCUCGUGUCGUGAGAUGUUGGGUUAAGUCCCGUAACGAGCGCAACCCUUGUCCCUAGUUGCCAGCGAUUCGGUCGGGAACUCUAGGGAGACUGCCGGUGACAAACCGGAGGAAGGUGGGGAUGACGUCAAGUCAUCAUGGCCCCCACGGGCAGGGCUACACACGUGCUACAAUGACCGGUACAGAGGGUCGCGAACCCGCGAGGGGGAGCCAAUCCCACAAAACCGGCCGUAGUUCGGAUCGGAGUCUGCAACUCGACUCCGUGAAGCCGGAAUCGCUAGUAAUCGCAGAUCAGCACGCUGCGGUGAAUACGUUCCCGGGCCUU